UUUUUAAUUGUUUUAAAUGGUUUUCGGAAAUUGAGAGCCCAACAAUUAGAAAAGUAGUAUGUUUCUGUCCAAUUAAACAAAACCGCCCAAUAAUUUAAACAAUAUAUCAAUCAAUUUUUAAGCCUAUUUCGUAUAUGUUUACUAACUCAUCCAUAUUCGUUUGUGUUCUAACCCUAGACCCUAAAACUCUAUUCAAACUCUAACUCUAUUCAAACCCUAUUAAUACCAUCAAAAACCCGUUGUCCAAAAAACUAUACCAAAUAUAUUGGAGUUCAUUAUAAUGCAUAUGUCUGAUUUAAAACAGAAAUGUAAACAGAACUAAAAAAUUCGAAAAUUUUAUAUAUCCAUAACACACAAAAUAUCAAAAUAUUCAAUCACUUUAACCAAAACUCAACU
rnacentral:lncRNA from 1 species